GUUGGUUAUGUGUGCUACGGGGUCACUGGUGGCGCCUUCAAAACAGAAAAAAAAAAUUCAAGUAAAAAAGUGUGGAAUUUUGUGUUGAAAAUUUAAGUUGUAAAUUCCUGAAAAAUGUACUUAAUUCCGUUCAACUGCUAACAUGUUAUACGAAAAUAGGAUAAAAAAAAGCAAUGGGUAUAAAAAAAAACUGAAGAAGAAAAGUAAAAAGGAAAAGAAAGUCGUUGAAUUAAUUAUUUUACAAUUGUUUAAAUAUAUGCGAGAAUGUUUUAGGCAAAUUGUCUUUAUUUACAGAUAAAUGUAUUUAAGUUCAGGAAAUGAUUUAUUCUUCUG
rnacentral:lncRNA from 1 species